UUUAGAUUAGCUGAAGCAUCUUCGAUAAAUUGGCUGUCUUCGGCUGUCAGUUUAUUAGCAGCUUAUCAGUUUAGUUGUCAAGAUGGGUGGCUGUUGGUCAUGUGUGGCCUGCAGGCUGUCUGGGCAGAGAACUGAAGCCCAGCCUGCUGUGUUCACACGUGUUUGUGCUCCCUGUGGGAACUUCAGUGGUCACAAGUUCACCACCACUAUUCACAUCACACAGCUUCUCCUUGAAAUUCAGGCGGCCCUUGAAGGUCACCUGCUUGGCUGAUUUCCACUGUGUUUCUUAAGCUUGGAGGUCCUAGACCGGUGAAGCUGUAUCACUCAGGAGCUGCUGGCUGGCACUGACAGGUCAUCCCAGAAACCCAACCCAUGUUGAAGAAUUUUCUGGGGGACUCCCCAAUGUUUUGGGGAACACUCUGGGGAAAGAGCUCAUUGAGGAACCCUCCAUGCCAGAACCCAUUCCAGCAUCUCGCAUCACCAACAACACCCUGGGGGAAGAGCUCACUGAGGAACACUCCGUGCCAGAACCCCUUCCAGCACCUUGCCUCACCAAUGACAUCCUGGGGGAAGAGCUCACUGAGAAACCCUCCGUGCCAGAACCCCUUCCAGCACCUCAUAUCACCAAAAACAUCCUGGGGGAAGAGCUCACUGAGGAACCCUCCAUGCCAGAACCACUUCCAGCACCUCGCAUGACCAAUGACAUUCUGGGGGAAGAGCUCACUGAGGAACCCUCCAUGC